rnacentral:rRNA from 1 species
UACGGAGGAUCCAAGCGUUAUCCGGAAUCAUUGGGUUUAAAGGGUCCGUAGGCGGUUUUAUAAGUCAGUGGUGAAAUCCGGCAGCUCAACUGUCGAACUGCCAUUGAUACUGUAGGACUUGAAUUAUUGUGAAGUAACUAGAAUAUGUAGUGUAGCGGUGAAAUGCGUAGAUAUUACAUGGAAUACCCAUUGCGAAGGCAGGUUACUAACAAUACAUUGACGCUGAUGGACGAAAGCGUGGGGAGCGAACAGG